AGAGCUUAGACUUUCCAGCCAGACAUUCUUGAGCCUGAGUUUUGAUUCUAUCACUUAGAAGUCUUAGCAUCAGCCAUGGAGCUCACAGACCCAAUUCCCACCACUCCACUGCGCUCUAGCCACGUUACAACACAGCAUCGCCUACAUCCAUUCUCUGCUCCUUCGCUAGUGCUGCUUCCUUUGUGUGGGUGAAGAUCUUGGUGGGACCUGACCUAAUACUGCAGUGAUGGGGCUCUGCUUCUGCGCCCACUGCCCGCGGCAACGCGCACAGCCUCCUGCUUGUGCUCGCCAAGAGAGACGUAACCCCCACUGAGGAUCCACUUAGAUCUCAGCCCCAGUCUUCUCUCCUCCCACCUCUGCCAGCUCAUCCCCAUCUCCCGGUUUUGAACUCACGUUUAAGUUUAUUAUUUCAGAAAGCCUACAUUUACCCAUUUAAAUUCCCCACAUGCAAAUGGCCUCUGUUUCUUUUAUCUUUGUUUUCUCCCCUAAAAUAGGCAGUGAAAAGAAAGAAAAAUAUCUUGACCAUAGAGCAUCCCCGGACAGACAGCAUGAAUUCCUGCUGUCGUUGUAUUUGGUUUUGUUUUAACUGUGUUUCCCUAGUAGAUGUCUCAAAAAUCCCCGGGCCCCCUGCUUCAGUUCUGUCUUCAGCAAUUGGCAUACAAAACGAGUUUAUACUGUAUAGCACAGGGAACUAUAUUCAGUUCCUGCAUUAUUUUGUAGUCAUCUAUAAUGAAAAAGAAUAUGAAAAUGAAUAUAUGUAUGUAUAUGUAUGACUAAAACAUUAUGCUGUGCACCAGAGAUUGAUACAUUGCAAACUGACUAUACUUCAAGUUUUAAAAAAUGAAAGAAAAAAAGAAAUUAGCAUACAAUAGUUCCCUUAGUUAUAGUGUAGCCUUUGAAGUUUUAUAGCUUGGCAUUUCUGUGAGUUGAAUUAUAGCACCCAAAGCAAAACUGUACUUUUCACUAGAGUCUAUUGCUGUAAGAAAACUUUAAAGAAGUAUUUUAUGUCUUAUUAAGAAAUUAUGCAGUGGCUUUUUUUUCACACGCUUAAAGGUAAUGUUUGAAGGUCAAGGUCUUUUACAUUUUUAUAUUCUCCUGAGUCCCCAAAUGAAUGCCCAUUUAUAGUAAAACAACACUAGUUCUCCACAAAAUGGACACGAUUACUCCAAUAGUUAACAUCAAUUAUUGUAACAAUGAAAUAGUGCUGCUAUUUCCUUUUAUAAAUGGUUGUAAAAUAGGAUGAUUUACCCAUGUUCCCUCAGCUCCUUCUCCACUGUUGCAUGCCACACACUGAAAUCUAUGCUCACAAGUGUCCAUAUGUUAUAUAUACACAACAAAGCACUACAAUAUUUGUGUAAUGAAAACUUUAAUGCCAAAAAACAACAUCAAAGACAAAAAAGAAAAAAAA